GUCCUUAUCAGGAGGGAUAUGAAAAAUAAAACACUGCAGUGUUGAACACUUGCCAUGAACGACUUCAGCUCUACCUCCAAGGCCACCACCCACAUCCCAAG